CCUACGGGUGGCAGCAGUGAGGAAUAUUGGUCAAUGGGCGCGAGCCUGAACCAGCCAAGUAGCGUGAAGGAUGACUGCCCUACGGGUUGUAAACUUCUUUUAUAAAGGAAUAAAGUGAGGCACGUGUGCAUUUUUGUAUGGACUUUAUGAAUAAGGAUCGGCUAACACCGUGCAAGCAGCCGCGGUAAUACGGAGGAACCGAGCGUUAUCCGGAUUUAUUGGGUUUAAAGGGAGCGUAGAUGGGUUGUUAAGUCAGUUGUGAAAGUUUGCGGCUCAACCGUAAAAUUGCAAUUGAUACUGGCAGUCUUGAGUACAGUUGAGGUAGGCGGAAUUCGUGGUGUAGCGGUGAAAUGCGUAGAUAUCAGGAGGAACACCGGUGGCGAAGGCGGCCUUCUGGACUGCAACUGACGUUGAGGCCCGAAAGCGUGGGGAGCAAACAGGAUUAGAUACCCCUGUAGUC
rnacentral:rRNA from 1 species